rnacentral:rRNA from 1 species
CCCUUAGAUGUUCUGGGCCGCACGCGCGCUACACUGAUGCAUUCAACGAGUCUAAAACCUGCUCUGAUAGGGGUGGGUAAUCUUUUGAAUGUGCAUCGUGAUUGGGAUAGAUGAUUGCAAUUUUUCAUCUUCAACGAGGAAUGCCUAGUAAACGCAAGUCAUCAGCUUGCAUUGAUUACGUCCCUGCCCUUUGUACACACCGCCCGUCGCUCCUACCGAUUGAAUGAUCCGAUGAAUAUCAUGGAUUGAGGAUGCAAGCAGGUUCGCCUGUCUUCAUCUUCGAGAAGUGAAGUAAAUCUUAUCAUUUAUAGGAAGGAGAAGUCGUAACA